GGGUUGUGAGGUUAAGCGACUAAGCGUACACGGUGGAUGCCCUGGCAGUCAGAGGCGAUGAAGGGCGUGCUAAUCUGCGAUAAGCGCCGGUAAGGUGAUAUGAACCGUUAUAACCGGCGAUACCCGAAUGGGGAAACCCAGUGUGAUUCGUCACACUAUCAUUAACUGAAUCCAUAGGUUAAUGAGGCGAACCGGGGGAACUGAAACAUCUAAGUACCCCGAGGAAAAGAAAUCAACCGAGAUUCCCCCAGUAGCGGCGAGCGAACGGGGAGGAGCCCAGAGCCUGAAUCAGCAUGUGUGUUAGUGGAAGCGUCUGGAAAGGCGCGCGAUACAGGGUGACAGCCCCGUACACAAAAGCGCAUGUGCUGUGAGCUCGAUGAGUAGGGCGGGACACGUGGUAUCCUGUCUGAAUAUGGGGGGACCAUCCUCCAAGGCUAAAUACUCCUGACUGACCGAUAGUGAACCAGUACCGUGAGGGAAAGGCGAAAAGAACCCCGGCGAGGGGAGUGAAAAAGAACCUGAAACCGUGUACGUACAAGCAGUGGGAGCACAGGUUUACCUGUGUGACUGCGUACCUUUUGUAUAAUGGGUCAGCGACUUAUAUUCUGUAGCAAGGUUAACCGAAUAGGGGAGCCGGAGGGAAACCGAGUCUUAAUUGGGCGUUAAGUUGCAGGGUAUAGACCCGAAACCCGGUGAUCUAGCCAUGGGCAGGUUGAAGGUUGGGUAACACUAACUGGAGGACCGAACCGACUAAUGUUGAAAAAUUAGCGGAUGACCUGUGGCUGGGGGUGAAAGGCCAAUCAAACCGGGAGAUAGCUGGUUCUCCCCGAAAGCUAUUUAGGUAGCGCCUCGUGAAUUCAUCUCCGGGGGUAGAGCACUGUUUCGGCUAGGGGGCCAUCCCGGCUUACCAACCCGAUGCAAACUGCGAAUACCGGAGAAUGUUAUCACGGGAGACACACGGCGGGUGCUAACGUCCGUCGUGAAGAGGGAAACAACCCAGACCGCCAGCUAAGGUCCCAAAGUCAUGGUUAAGUGGGAAACGAUGUGGGAAGGCCCAGACAGCCAGGAUGUUGGCUUAGAAGCAGCCAUCAUUUAAAGAAAGCGUAAUAGCUCACUGGUCGAGUCGGCCUGCGCGGAAGAUGUAACGGGGCUAAACCAUGCACCGAAGCUGCGGCAGCGACGCUGAUGCGUUGUUGGGUAGGGGAGCGUUCUGUAAGCCUGCGAAGGUGACCUGUGAGGGUUGCUGGAGGUAUCAGAAGUGCGAAUGCUGACAUAAGUAACGAUAAAGCGGGUGAAAAGCCCGCUCGCCGGAAGACCAAGGGUUCCUGUCCAACGUUAAUCGGGGCAGGGUGAGUCGACCCCUAAGGCGAGGCCGAAAGGCGUAGUCGAUGGGAAACGGGUUAAUAUUCCCGUACUUGGUGUUACUGCGAAGGGGGGACGGAGAAGGCUAUGUUGGCCGGGCGACGGUUGUCCCGGUUUAAGCGUGUAGGUGUGUGUUCCAGGUAAAUCCGGUUCACUUUAACACUGAGGCGUGACGACGAGGCACUACGGUGCUGAAGCAACAAAUGCCCUGCUUCCAGGAAAAGCCUCUAAGCAUCAGGUAACACGAAAUCGUACCCCAAACCGACACAGGUGGUCAGGUAGAGAAUACCAAGGCGCUUGAGAGAACUCGGGUGAAGGAACUAGGCAAAAUGGUGCCGUAACUUCGGGAGAAGGCACGCUGACACGUAGGUGAAGUGAUUUACUCAUGGAGCUGAAGUCAGUCGAAGAUACCAGCUGGCUGCAACUGUUUAUUAAAAACACAGCACUGUGCAAACACGAAAGUGGACGUAUACGGUGUGACGCCUGCCCGGUGCCGGAAGGUUAAUUGAUGGGGUCAGCGCAAGCGAAGCUCCUGAUCGAAGCCCCGGUAAACGGCGGCCGUAACUAUAACGGUCCUAAGGUAGCGAAAUUCCUUGUCGGGUAAGUUCCGACCUGCACGAAUGGCGUAAUGAUGGCCAGGCUGUCUCCACCCGAGACUCAGUGAAAUUGAACUCGCUGUGAAGAUGCAGUGUACCCGCGGCAAGACGGAAAGACCCCGUGAACCUUUACUAUAGCUUGACACUGAACAUUGAGCCUUGAUGUGUAGGAUAGGUGGGAGGCUUUGAAGUGUGGACGCCAGUCUGCAUGGAGCCGACCUUGAAAUACCACCCUUUAAUGUUUGAUGUUCUAACGUGGACCCGUAAUCCGGGUUGCGGACAGUGUCUGGUGGGUAGUUUGACUGGGGCGGUCUCCUCCUAAAGAGUAACGGAGGAGCACGAAGGUUGGCUAAUCCUGGUCGGACAUCAGGAGGUUAGUGCAAUGGCAUAAGCCAGCUUGACUGCGAGCGUGACGGCGCGAGCAGGUGCGAAAGCAGGUCAUAGUGAUCCGGUGGUUCUGAAUGGAAGGGCCAUCGCUCAACGGAUAAAAGGUACUCCGGGGAUAACAGGCUGAUACCGCCCAAGAGUUCAUAUCGACGGCGGUGUUUGGCACCUCGAUGUCGGCUCAUCACAUCCUGGGGCUGAAGUAGGUCCCAAGGGUAUGGCUGUUCGCCAUUUAAAGUGGUACGCGAGCUGGGUUUAGAACGUCGUGAGACAGUUCGGUCCCUAUCUGCCGUGGGCGCUGGAGAACUGAGGGGGGCUGCUCCUAGUACGAGAGGACCGGAGUGGACGCAUCACUGGUGUUCGGGUUGUCAUGCCAAUGGCACUGCCCGGUAGCUAAAUGCGGAAGAGAUAAGUGCUGAAAGCAUCUAAGCACGAAACUUGCCCCGAGAUGAGUUCUCCCUGAGACUUAGAGUCUCCUGAAGGAACGUUGAAGACGACGACGUUGAUAGGCCGGGUGUGUAAGCGCAGCGAUGCGUUGAGCUAACCGGUACUAAUGAACCGUGAGGCUUAACCUUACAACGCCGAAG
rnacentral:rRNA from 2 species